AUGUAUGGGGGAAAAGAUAUCCCUAUGUGGAGGCUUUCCCCUGAUAAACAAUUUUCGGUGAAAUCUUUAUAUCUUCACCCGGUGAAAAGUGAAAGCGGCUUCCCAUAGAAAUUUAUGUGGAAAGUGAAGGUCCCAGCUAAAAUCAAAUUCUUUCUUUGGUUGGUAAAUAGGAAAAGUAUCCUUACUAGAGAUAACCUUUUGAGAAGAGGGUGGAAAGGUAACAAAAAUUGUGUUUUUUGUGGUCUAGAUGAAAGUAUUGAUCAUUUAUUUUUCUCUUGUUCUGUUGCUAGACUGAUCUGGAAUUUACUCAGAUGUGCUUUUCAUCUACAAUGUGUGCCUGUCAACUUACAUGAUUGUUUUGGAAGGUGGAUCUAA
rnacentral:rRNA from 1 species